AGAGUUUGAUUAUGGCUCAGAUUGAACGCUGGCGGCAGGCCUAACACAUGCAAGUCGAGCGGUAGAGAGAAGCUUGCUUCUCUUGAGAGCGGCGGACGGGUGAGUAAUGCCUAGGAAUCUGCCUGGUAGUGGGGGAUAACGUUCGGAAACGGACGCUAAUACCGCAUACGUCCUACGGGAGAAAGCAGGGGACCUUCGGGCCUUGCGCUAUCAGAUGAGCCUAGGUCGGAUUAGCUAGUUGGUGAGGUAAUGGCUCACCAAGGCGACGAUCCGUAACUGGUCUGAGAGGAUGAUCAGUCACACUGGAACUGAGACACGGUCCAGACUCCUACGGGAGGCAGCAGUGGGGAAUAUUGGACAAUGGGCGAAAGCCUGAUCCAGCCAUGCCGCGUGUGUGAUGAAGGCCUUAGGGUUGUAAAGCUCUUUUACCCGGGAUGAUAAUGACAGUACCGGGAGAAUAAGCUCCGGCUAACUCCGUGCCAGCAGCCGCGGUAAU
rnacentral:rRNA from 1 species